rnacentral:rRNA from 1 species
UACGAGGGGGGCUAGCGUUGUUCGGAAUUACUGGGCGUAAAGCGCGUGUAGGCGGGCCGUUAAGUCGGGGGUGAAAGCCCAGAGCUCAACUCUGGAAUUGCCUUCGAUACUGGCGGCCUGGAGCAUGAGAGAGGCGAGUGGAAUUGCGAGUGUAGAGGUGAAAUUCGUAGAUAUUCGGAGGAACACCAGUGGCGAAGGCGGCUCGCAGGAUCAUUGCUGACGCUGAGACGCGAAAGCGUGGGGAGCAAACAGG